GGUUUCCGCCCUUCAGUGCUGCAGCAAACGCAUUAAGCACUCCGCCUGGGGAGUACGACCGCAAGGUUGAAACUCAAAGGAAUUGACGGGGGCCCGCACAAGCGGUGGAGCAUGUGGUUUAAUUCGAAGCAACGCGAAGAACCUUACCAGGUCUUGACAUCCUUUGACCACUCUAGAGAUAGAGCUUUCCCUUCGGGGACAAAGUGACAGGUGGUGCAUGGUUGUCGUCAGCUCGUGUCGUGAGAUGUUGGGUUAAGUCCCGCAACGAGCGCAACCCUUAUUGUUAGUUGCCAUCAUUUAGUUGGGCACUCUAGCGAGACUGCCGGUGACAAACCGGAGGAAGGUGGGGAUGACGUCAAAUCAUCAUGCCCCUUAUGACCUGGGCUACACACGUGCUACAAUGGGAAGUACAACGAGUCGCUAGACCGCGAGGUCAUGCAAAUCUCUUAAAGCUUCUCUCAGUUCGGAUUGCAGGCUGCAACUCGCCUGCAUGAAGCCGGAAUCGCUAGUAAUCGCGGAUCAGCACGCCGCGGUGAAUACGUUCCCGGGCCUUGUACACACCGCCCGUCACACCACGAGAGUUUGUAACACCCGAAGUCGGUGAGGUAACCUUUUUGGAGCCAGCCGCCUAAGGUGGGAUAGAUGAUUGGGGUGAAGUCGUAACAAGGUAGCCGUAUCGGAAGGUGCGGCUG
rnacentral:rRNA from 1 species